UCGAGAAUUUUUCACAAUGGGGGAAACCCUGAUGGAGCGACGCCGCGUGGAGGACGAAGGGCUUCGUGCUUGUAAACUCCUGUCAAGCGGGAACAAGAAAGUGAUAGUACCGCUAGAGGAAGAGACGGCUAACUCUGUGCCAGCAGCCGCGGUAAUACAGAGGUCUCAAGCGUUGUUCGGAUUCAUUGGGCGUAAAGGGUGCGUAGGCGGUGUGGAAAGUCGAAUGUGAAAUCUCGGAGCUCAACUCCGAAACUGCACUCGAUACUACCAUACUAGAGGAUUGUAGAGGAGAUCGGAAUUCACGGUGUAGCAGUGAAAUGCGUAGAUAUCGUGAGGAAGACCAGUUGCGAAAGCGGAUCUCUGGGCAACUCCUGACGCUGAGGCACGAAGGCUAGGGGAGCAAACGG
rnacentral:rRNA from 1 species